rfam:Zootermopsis nevadensis contig6082, whole genome shotgun sequence.
GCCACGGUGGUCUAGCGGUUAGAACGCUGGCCUUGUAAUCCUGGGGUCUCGGGUUCGAUUCCCGGCGGUGGCC